UGCGGAGGGAUCAUUACUGAGUGAGGGCCUUCGGGCUCGACCUCCAACCCUUUGUGAACACAACUUGUUGCUUCGGGGGCGACCCUGCCGUUUCGACGGCGAGCGCCCCCGGAGGCCUUCAAACACUGCAUCUUUGCGUCGGAGUUUAAGUAAAUUAAACAAAACUUUCAACAACGGAUCUCUUGGUUCUGGCAUCGAUGAAGAACGCAGCGAAAUGCGAUAAGUAAUGUGAAUUGCAGAAUUCAGUGAAUCAUCGAAUCUUUGAACGCACAUUGCGCCCCUUGGUAUUCCGAGGGGCAUGCCUGUUCGAGCGUCAUUUCACCACUCAAGCCUGGCUUGGUAUUGGGCGCCGCGGUCAAUCCGCGCGCCUCAAAGUCUCCGGCUGAGCUGUCCGUCUCUAAGCGUUGUGAUUUCAUUAAUCGCUUCGGAGUGCGGGCGGCCGCGGCCGUUAAAUCUUUCAAAGGUUGACCUCGGAUCAGGUAGGGAUACCCGCUGAACUUAAGCAUAUCAAUAAAGCCGGA
rnacentral:rRNA from 1 species